rnacentral:rRNA from 1 species
GAGUUUGAUCCUGGCUCAGGACGAACGCUGGCGGCAUGCCUAAUACAUGCAAGUCGAGCGGACUUGAAGAGAAGCUUGCUUCUCGGAUNGUUAGCGGCGGACGGGUGAGUAACACGUAGGCAACCUGCCCUCAAGUUUGGGACAACUACCGGAAACGGUAGCUAAUACCGAAUAGUUGUUUUCUUCUCCUGAAGAGAACUGGAAAGACGGAGCAAUCUGUCACUUGGGGAUGGGCCUGCGGCGCAUUAGCUAGUUGGUGGGGUAACGGCUCACCAAGGCGACGAUGCGUAGCCGACCUGAGAGGGUGAUCGGCCACACUGGGACUGAGACACGGCCCAGACUCCUACGGGAGGCAGCAGUAGGGAAUCUUCCGCAAUGGGCGAAAGCCUGACGGAGCAAUGCCGCGUGAGUGAUGAAGGUUUUCGGAUCGUAAAGCUCUGUUGCCAGGGAAGAACGCUUGGGAGAGUAACUGCUCUCAAGGUGACGGUACCUGAGAAGAAAGCCCCGGCUAACUACGUGCCAGCAGCCGCGGUAAUACGUAGGGGGCAAGCGUUGUCCGGAAUUAUUGGGCGUAAAGCGCGCGCAGGCGGUCAUUUAAGUCUGGUGUUUAAUCCCGGGGCUCAACCCCGGAUCGCACUGGAAACUGGGUGACUUGAGUGCAGAAGAGGAGAGUGGAAUUCCACGUGUAGCGGUGAAAUGCGUAGAUAUGUGGAGGAACACCAGUGGCGAAGGCGACUNNNNGGGCUGUA